CCGACGGUGAGGGGCGAAAGCUGGGGGAGCAAACCGGAUUAGAUACCCGGGUAGUCCCAGCUGUAAACGAUGCGCGUUAGGUGUGUCAGUGACCACGUGUCACUGAUGUGCCGAAGGGAAACCGUGAAACGCGCCGCCUGGGGAGUACGGUCGCAAGGCUGAAACUUAAAAGAAUUGGCGGGGGAGCACCACAACGGGUGGAGCCUGCGGUUUAAUCGGACUCAACGCCGGAAAUCUCACCGGAUAA
rnacentral:rRNA from 1 species